rnacentral:rRNA from 1 species
GUGUCAGCCGCCGCGGUAAUACGGAGGGUGCAAACGUUGCUCGGAAUCAUUGGGCGUAAAGCGCACGUAGGCGGCCCGUUAAGUCGGAUGUGAAAGCCCAGGGCUCAACCCUGGAAGUGCAUUCGAUACUGGCAGGCUUGAAUAUGGAAGAGGGUCGCGGAAUUCCCGGUGUAGAGGUGAAAUUCGUAGAUAUCGGGAGGAACACCAGUGGCGAAGGCGGCGACCUGGGCCAAUAUUGACGCUGAGGUGCGAAAGCGUGGGGAGCAAACAGGAUUAGAUACCCUAGUAGUCC